CAGUGUUUGGGGUCACAGGAUUUAUACCAUCUAUAGCAUCCUGUUUAUUGUCUUCAUCAUUCUUCUAAUUGUCACAGCUUUCAUAACUGUGGCCUUGACAUAUUUCCAACUUGCUGCUGAAGACCAUGAAUGAUGGUGGAGGUACACAAGUUUUCACAUUCAAAUUUUGUCCGCGUUGUGUGCUUCACUAUUAAAUAUAUUCAAUGUUUCAACAAUCUUUAUGAUUUUAUCUAGUAGUUUUAUAUCUGGCUUACCAUUUGCUGUAUAAAUUUUCACAUUCUCAUGUUCAUUGGUUCUCACUUCUUCCUAUGAUUUAAUUCUGAAGUUUUAGGUGUAGUUGGGUUUUAAAAUUCAGUGUCAUCAACUUCUCAUCAACUUCUCAGUCAAUCAUGGUUGACAAUGGAUGCAUCCUUUUUAUAUAAAAUUUUUGCUGACAAGAAUGUCAUGUAAAAAAUGGGUAUAAAAAAUGUUCUCAUUUGUUAUAUUUAAAGUGCCGCUUUUUUCAGGAACUUAAUAUUGAUUUUCACAGGUCUCUGUGGUGGAUCAACUGGGCUAUUUAUCUACUCUUACUGCUUGUAUUCCUACUAUGGUCGGUCAGAUAUGUCUGGUUUCAUGCAAACGUCUUGCUUCUUUGGGUACAUGGCAUGCAUAUGCUAUGGCUUCUUUCUAAUGCUUGGUACAGUGGGUUUCCGUGCCUCCCUGCUCUUUGUUCGCCACAUUUACGGGUCGAUUAAGGGGGUGUAUGGUUCACCUGUUGGGUGCAACUAAUAGCUGAUAAAUACUCAAAUAGCUGAUAGAUACCUAAAUAGGUGAACUAAAGUGAUUGAUAGAUUUAAAAAAAUAAAGUUGAUAGCUAAUAGGUAGCUCAUAUGAUACCCCAUUGAUUGCAGUUUGUAUCAGCUCUAUUU
rnacentral:misc_RNA from 1 species